AAACAUACUGCCAAAGCAACCCAAGAGUUUCUCAAGGCAAAUGCAUGGAAUAUUCAUCAACGGUCAAGUCAGUCAUGUGAUCCUUUACAC